rnacentral:ncRNA from 1 species
ACCCGAUGAAUUUACAUUGACGGUAAAGAUGCCGUCUACCCGCAACAAGACGGAAAGACCCUAUGAAGCUUUACUAUAGCGUGUCAUUGAUGCACGAAUUUUUUUGUUUAGCAUAGGUGGGAGCCUUUGAAUCGCAGGCGCAAGCAUGCGUGGAGGCGACAAGUGAAAUACCACCCUAAAAGACUUUUGUUUCUAACCCGGAUUUAACCAGUCCAGGGACAGUGGCUCGUGGGUAGUUUAACUGGGGCGGUUGCCUUAAGGGAGAUAUCAAUUCCCGUUACAUCUUUGACGAGUAAUCAAAGAUCGAUAUCUCCGUGGGGCGGUUUUGUAGCAAUACAGAACGCAAUAUUGAGCUAUAUGCUGGAACAUCUGGAGUAUCCGACUGUACUUUGAUAUACUAAGCUUAACAAUUAAGAUAGUGUAUCGAGUGAAAAUCAGCUCGGUGCAGACAAUCAGCAGGGAAGAAAGGUUAAUAAAUAUGAAUAAUAAUGAAGUACCUAGUCCGGAAAAUGUACACUCUCCUGAAAAGAAAAGUUAUCGAUAUGAAAUAGAGAGGAACGGUGGUGUCAAUGCUACAACUAUUCAAGCGAAUUCGUUUGAACAAGCAGAAGCAAUGGCAAAUGCUGAUUUGCAAGAACGAAAAUUUGCAGAUCCGGAUGCAGAUUAUAAAUUGCAUCAUGCACCUUACGAAACUGAUCUGGAAUAAACAGUACUAGAUAUAUUUAUACCUUAACCCUCAACGACUACACGCUCAACAUCCUAUAAACGGAUGAAGAUAUAGUCUGAACUGUAUGGCGACAUACAGAGUCCUGCAAUAGGACACUUAAUCUCAUGAACACAAGAGAGAUUAGAGUUUUGGCGGCGUCGAUCAAACUAACUGAUCAGCAAGGAGAAAUCCUCGUUGGUUUGCUGUUAGGUGAUGGACACCUCGAAACUCAAAAUCAAGGUAGAACUUUUCGUCUUAAAGUAGAACACGCCAUAAGCCAGAAAGAGUACACGGAUUGGUUGUACGGAUAUUUCAAAAAUAUCUCGUUGACCAAGCCGCAACUCAAAUUACAAAUGGUGGCAGGUAAAAUGCGAGAAAAGUACUGGUUUUCAACAAUCAGUACUGGUACGCUUAGAUUUUACGGGCAAUUAUUUUAUGUUAAUCGUAAAAAAGUUGUGCCGAAAAUGAUCGCGAAACUCGCAAGCCCGCUUUCCUUAGCAGUAUGGUUUAUGGACGACGGAUCUUUGAAAUCUAAACAUCACAAAGCUAGGAUUAUAAAUACCCAAUGUUUUGAUGAUAUUAGUUUACAAAGACUCCAAGAUAUGUUGAAAUCAAAAUUCAACAUUGUAACUACUUUGAGACAGCAGAAAGAAGGUAAGCAGAUUUAUAUUCCUUCAACUGAAAUAGAAAAGUUUAUUGCUCUCAUAAAACCGUAUAUCCAUCCGACGAUGGAAUACAAGAUUAAGUUAACAUAAUUGCCUAAAUGGUAACGGAGGCGUUUAUUAAGGUAGGCUUAGCUCCGAUGGAAACGGAGCUGGACGCGCAAACGCACAAGCCUGCUUGACUGCAAGACUGGCAAGUCGCGCAGAUACGAAAGUAGAAGUUAGUGAUCCGACCAUCCUUCGUGGAAGGGUGGAAGCUCAACGGAUAAAAGUUACUCUAGGGAUAACAGGCUGAUCUAGUCCAAGAGUCCAUAUCGACGACUAGGUUUGGCACCUCGAUGUCGGCUCAUCGCAUCCUGGAGCUGGAGAAGGUUCCAAGGGUUCGGCUGUUCGCCGAUUAAAGCGAUACGCGAGCUGGGUUCAAAACGUCGUGAGACAGUAGAGAUCAUGCUGUCUAUAAAUUUAGCUAUAUCGGUGAAACUCUGCAGUAGAAAAUGCAGACAAUACCGAGGGAAGACUUGUAGCGCGCUGAUUUAUCAGCUCGAGCCCAUAAAUGGGCACUACAUAGAACCCGUAGAGACUAUACGCUAGACAUUCGUUUGCAAAAACGAUAAAGAUAUAGUCCGAACUCUUAUGGUGACAUAGAGAGCAUGGCAGAAAUGUCCAUGUCACGUAGUUUGGAAUUUAGAAUUUUGAAUUUCGAUAUUAUUUAGAUAUUAGAAAUUUGAAAUUAGAAAUUCUUUGUUACGAAGUAACAAAGUGUUGGUCCUUAUCUGUUGUGGGUGUUCGAAACUUGAGUGGGCGCAUCCUUAGUACGAGAGGACCAGGAUGCAUAGACCUCUGGUGUACCGGUUGUCCCGUCUGGGGCAUAGCCGGGUAGCUAGGUCUAGUUUAGAUAAACGCUGAAUGCAUAUAAGCGUGAAGCUGUCCACAAAACUAGGUUUCGUUGUCGUGCCUCACUAUCGUUCGGCACGGUAGCGAUACUAAUCUACGAAUACAUACUAAUUAUACGAAUAGCCAACCCCCGGGUUAGUUAUUAGUAUCAUUAGUAAAAUUAGUAUAUUAGCAUCGAUACUCGUGGUGAGCGGCAGCGAGGCACGAUGAGAGGUUCGGGGAAGACUACCCCGCAUAUAGGCAGCAGGUGUAAGUGUGGUAACACAUUGAGCCGAGCUGUACUAAUCAACCGAAAGUUUAAUUCAA